AGAGUUUGAUCAUGGCUCAGGACGAACGCUGGCGGCGUGCCUCAAACAUGCAAGUCGAGCGUGGAUACGUCGCCUCGCAAGAGGUGACGUGUUCUAGCGGCGGACGGGUGCGUAACACGUGGGGAACCAACCCUCCAGACGGGGACAACCUCGGGAAACCGGGGCUAAUACCGGAUACGUUCGCCGGGUCGCAUGGCCUGGCGAGGAAAGGAUCGCAAGAUCGCUGGAGGACGGUCCCGCGGCCUAUCAGCUAGUUGGUGAGGUAACGGCCCACCAAGGCGAUGACGGGUAGCUGGCCUGAGAGGGUGGUCAGCCACACUGGAACUGAGACACGGUCCAGACUCCUACGGGAGGCAGCAGUUGGGAAUCUUGGGCAAUGGGCGCAAGCCUGACCCAGCGACGCCGCGUGGGGGAUGAAGGCCUUCGGGUUGUAAACCCCUGUCAGGAGGGACGAAGCCGCAAGGUGACGGUACCUCCAGAGGAAGCCCCGGCUAACUACGUGCCAGCAGCCGCGGUAAGACGUAGGGGGCGAGCGUUGUCCGGAAUUACUGGGCGUAAAGCGCGUGCAGGCGGCUUUGUAAGUCCCGUGUGAAAGCCUACGGCUCAACUGUAGGAGGCCGCGGGAUACUGCGAGGCUCGAGGGCAGGAGAGGGAAGUAGAAUUCCCGGUAGCGGUGAAAUGCGUAGAUAUCGGGAGGAAUGCCAGUGGCGAAGGCGGCUUCCUGGCCUGCCCCUGACGCUGAGACGCGAAAGCUGGGGGAGCGAACGGGAUUAGAUACCCUAGUAGUCC
rnacentral:rRNA from 1 species